CGGUUUUCCGUAUUUGGGCGGAGCUAUACAUGCAGUCGAGCGAACCAAAGGGAGCUUGCUCCCGGAGGUUAGCGGCGGACGGGUGAGUAACACGUGGGCAACCUACCUGUAAGAUUGGGAUAACUUCGGGAAACCGGAGCUAAUACCGAAUAACAAUAAGAACCACAUGGUUCUUAUUUGAAAGAUGGCUUCGGCUAUCACUUACGGAUGGGCCCGCGGCGCAUUAGCUAGUUGGUGAGGUAACGGCUCACCAAGGCGACGAUGCGUAGCCGACCUGAGAGGGUGAUCGGCCACACUGGGACUGAGACACGGCCCAGACUCCUACGGGAGGCAGCAGUAGGGAAUCUUCCGCAAUGGACGAAAGUCUGACGGAGCAACGCCGCGUGAGUGAAGAAGGUUUUCGGAUCGUAAAACUCUGUUGUUAGGGAAGAACAAGUAUCGUUCGAAUAGGGCGGUACCUUGACGGUACCUAACCAGAAAACCACGGCUAACUACGUGCCAGCAUCCGCGGUAAGUAC
rnacentral:rRNA from 1 species